ACGACCUUUUGUUCUUGUUCUUGGUCAUUCUUCUCGUUACGGCACUGGAAAUACAGUGUUGUUGAUAGGAUUGGAUACUUAUCCAAAGUGAGGGUGUUACUGUUUGGCUUCUCCCGGUCCUCUGUGCGUUCUUGACCUGUGCCGUUUACCCACCUCACGCUCACGAACGCUUCUUGGAAAGUGCGCUCUUGGGUACAUGCAGCGUCUCGACAGAAUUUUUUGGAGUCCGUCUUCGGAUAUAAAGUCGACUGAUUCGGGCACUCCAGAGUGACUUCACUUUGUUCUGUUGUGAGCGUAGCGACGGCAAAAUCUGUUUUCUCUUGGUUGGCAACAGCAGCAUCUGAUGACGCUGCGCCGUUUGACAAGAAAGCAAGGCCAACGAAGAUUGAAACGACUACUGCCGUUUGAAGGCUUUUCGAGACCUGAAAGCCCCUCAACGCCGUUCCUUCCAUUUUGCCGUCUUAAACACUUUCUGGUUCACUCAGGACCCACUUUGGUAUUAAGGAAACCGGCGCGCCUUUGUGGUGAACGACUGUCGAAGAUGGAGGGCGCGAACAAGCGUUUUCUGACUGUGUCGUGGAGCGGCACAUUCGACGACGCGCCUUCCGCUGAAGUGUUGCCCUUCAGGCAUUCCCGCUGGGUCGAUGGCGCCCGACCGGGUCGAGCACGAAAGAAGUUCCGUUUCCCCAACGCGCGAUGCGCGAGUUGGUGUCGACAGUGAGCGCCAUCAUUUCAACCAAGUGAUGCUGCUACGGGAGAAAUAGGAGUUGUGUGGAAUUUUGAGGCUCACAGCAGACAGACCAUGUGUCUGAGCCAUUUGCGCAGAUGUUCACCGAAUUAGGUUUCGAGCCGACUCAGAGGUCUCGUGAACCGCAGCACACAGCGUCAUCACAAACGGCAUGAACUCCGAACAUUGCGGACUAAUUCACUGUUUUGACAACAAAUGUACCACCAAUGAGAUGGAAAAGCGUGAACGAAUUGCGGAUGAGCGUGCCUCGACAGGAACAAAUAACCAGACAAAGCAGCCUCAUACAGAAAGCUAGCUCAUGGCGGCAGAAGCGAAAAACAUAAUGAGUAGAGCAAGAAUCCAAACCCCUGUGGUAGACUUGCGUGUGGAACUGCCGGAUGGCGAUUGCGAGCCGCUGGGCUUCUCAUCUGUUCCAUUUGGAGUUUCACCUGGUUUCCCUGAAUUCGCGUCCCCUUCCUGCUCUGGCUGACCAGGCUUCUCUUCGCUUCCUUCUUGUGUUGGUGGUUGUGUGUCCUCUCCCGGUCCUUCGGGAGUCGCUGCCGGUUUAGCGUCGACUGUAAUAAGCACCUUACACUCCUUGGAAGGCUGUGGAUGUAGAAUUGGGUGCACUGCUUUUUCAAUACACUUGUAGCAAAGUUUGACUUUGUUCGUGGGAAAGUCAAUAACCUCAAAUGUGUAGGUGGGCAGAUCUGUCGCAUCGGUGGCCGGAAUUUCGGAGUAAGGCACCGCGUUUGUCGAUGAGGUAGCGGACAUCCCUUCAACCAAGGAGGCAGACAACUUGAGAUCCGCCAGUUUCACCGUCUGAUCACAGCCAUCUCCCUGCAAUGCUUCUUCGAAGUUGAUCGUCGACAGUGUGUCAGCGUCUGAUGCACACCGAAAUGUAACCUUGUUGGAAGUGGAAUUGAGGGUGACAGACUUGUCGUUGCCGAUUGUGCACACAUCUGUGACGAAUGCCAUACACACACAUUGAUGGAAACGAAUGACAGUGUCCGUUUCAAUCUCCGAAUUUGCCUCAAAAACGCAGAUGGGUACGUGCAUUCGAGAAAAGUAAAAUGAGAACGCCCUUCGCAAUACGAAUGAUCCACAAUGUGUUACGACGUCGAGAAGCUAGAUACAAAUUCCAGCGGUUACGGGAAAGGUGUUCCGUAUUGAUAUGCGUUAAUCCUGCU
rnacentral:lncRNA from 1 species